rnacentral:rRNA from 1 species
CCUACGGGGAGCUGCAGUGGGGAAUAUUGGACAAUGGGGGGAACCCUGAUCCAGCCAUGCCGCGUGUGUGAAGAAGGCCCUCGGGUUGUAAAGCACUUUCAGUGAGGAAGAACGCCUGGUGGUUAAUACCCAUCAGGAAAGACAUCACUCACAGAAGAAGCACCGGCUAACUCCGUGCCAGUAGCCGCGGUAAUACGGAGGGUGCGAGCGUUAAUCGGAAUUACUGGGCGUAAAGCGCGCGUAGGUGGCUUGAUAAGCCGGUUGUGAAAGCCCCGGGCUCAACCUGGGAACGGCAUCCGGAACUGUCAAGCUAGAGUGCAGGAGAGGAAGGUAGAAUUCCCGGUGUAGCGGUGAAAUGCGUAGAGAUCGGGAGGAAUACCAGUGGCGAAGGCGGCCUUCUGGACUGACACUGACACUGAGGUGCGAAAGCGUGGGUAGCAAACAGGAUUAGAUACCCUGGUAGUC